rnacentral:rRNA from 1 species
AAAACUAGUCACCGAAGCUGCGGAUGUGCGCGAAAGCGCACGUGGUAGGGGAGCGUUCUGUAGGCUGAUGAAGGUGCAUUGAGAAGUGUGCUGGAGGUAUCAGAAGUGCGAAUGCUGACAUGAGUAACGAUAAUGUGGGUGAAAAGCCCACACGCCGGAAGUCCCAGGUUUCCUGCACGACGUUAAUCGGAGCAGGGUGAGUCGGCCCCUAAGGCGAGGCUGAAGAGCGUAGUCGAUGGGAACCAGGUUAAUAUUCCUGGACUUUUUAUAAGUGGUGAAGUGGGGACGAAGAAGGCUAGGUGAGCCAGGCGUUGGUUGUCCUGGUACUUGCAUGUAGGGGGGAAGACUUGGCAAAUCCGGUUUUCCAUAACUCUGAGGUGCGAAGUGGUUCUGACCUUUUGGUACAGAGAAGUCAUUGAUGCCCGGCUUCCAGGAAAAGCUGCUAGCCAUAACUUAUAGAGAACCGUACCGCAAACCGACACAGGUGGACAGGUAGAGAAUACUAAGGCGCUUGAGAGAACUCGGGUGAAGGAACUAGGCAAAAUGGUACCGUAACUUCGGGAGAAGGUACGCCCUUUUGGGUGAGGGCAUUUACUGUCUGAGCUUAAGAGGGCCGCAGAGACCAGGUGGCUGCGACUGUUUAUUAAAAACACAGCACUCUGCAAAUUCGUAAGAAGACGUAUAGGGUGUGACGCCUGCCCGGUGCCGGAAGGUUAAUUGAUGGGGUUAUCUUCGGAGAAGCUCUUGAUCGAAGCCCCGGUAAACGGCGGCCGUAACUAUAACGGUCCUAAGGUAGCGAAAUUCCUUGUCGGGUAAGUUCCGACCUGCACGAAUGGCGUAACGAUGGCCACACUGUCUCCACCCGAGACUCAGUGAAAUUGAAAUCGCUGUGAAGAUGCAGUGUACCCGCGGCUAGACGGAAAGACCCCGUGAACCUUUACUAUAGUUUUGCACUGGACUUUGAUGAUGACUGUGUAGGAUAGGUGGGAGGCUGUGAAGUGAGGACGCUAGUUCUCAUGGAGCCGCCCUUGAAAUACCACCCUGUUGUUAUUGAGGUUCUAACUUGGUCCAGUAAUCCUGGAUGAGGACAGUGUAUGAUGGGUAGUUUGACUGGGGCGGUCUCCUCCCAAAGAGUAACGGAGGAGCACAAAGGUACCCUCGGUACGGUCGGACAUCGUACCAAGAGUGUAAAGGCAAAAGGGUGCUUGACUGCGAGAGUGACGGCUCGAGCAGGAACGAAAGUUGGUCUUAGUGAUCCGGUGGUUCUGAAUGGAAGGGCCAUCGCUCAACGGAUAAAAGGUACUCCGGGGAUAACAGGCUGAUACCGCCCAAGAGUUCAUAUCGACGGCGGUGUUUGGCACCUCGAUGUCGGCUCAUCACAUCCUGGGGCUGAAGCAGGUCCCAAGGGUAUGGCUGUUCGCCAUUUAAAGUGGUACGCGAGCUGGGUUUAGAACGUCGUGAGACAGUUCGGUCCCUAUCUGCCGUGGGCGUAGGAAAAUUGAGAGGAGCUGCUCCUAGUACGAGAGGACCGGAGUGGACGAACCUCUGGUGCACCGGUUGUCACGCCAGUGGCAUGGCCGGGUAGCUAAGUUCGGACGGGAUAACCGCUGAAAGCAUCUAAGCGGGAAGCCUCCCUCAAGAUGAGUUUUCCCAUGAAGCCCGUUGAAGACUACGACGUUGAUAGGCAAGGUGUGGAAGCGCAGUAAUGCGUGAAGCUAACUUGUACUAAUUGGCUGAUUGUCUUGACCAU